rnacentral:rRNA from 1 species
UGGUAGGAGAGCGUUCUAAGGGCGUUGAAGCAUGAUCGUAAGGACAUGUGGAGCGCUUAGAAGUGAGAAUGCCGGUGUGAGUAGCGAAAGACGGGUGAGAAUCCCGUCCACCGAUUGACUAAGGUUGCCAGAGGAAGGCUCGUCCGCUCUGGGUUAGUCGGGUCCUAAGCUGAGGCCGAUAGGCGUAGGCGAUGGAUAACAGGUUGAUAUUCCUGUACCACCAUG